AAAUGUUCAAAAGUCAUCUUUGGCUUUCAGUUCUAAUAUGGGAAGGGAUAUGAGGAAUCGACGGCCUCUUAUUUUAGGAGUGGGAUCUGCUGUGGAAUUGGGUUAUCAUUUAGGUCUGCUAGCUUUUGUGGGCCACAACAAAUGAGAGGUUUUUAGCUAUGUCAAAGACCGUGUAUGGAAAAGAUUACAGGGCUGGGGUAAGAAGAUGUUAUCUAGAGCUGGUAAGGAAGUAAUGAUAAAAUCUGUCAUUCAAGCUAUACCUACGUACACUAUGGGUGUCUUCUUAUUUCCUCAAAGUUUACGUGAUGAGCUAGAGAGGAUGAUGAAUUCCUUUUGGUAGGGCAACGAACAAGGUUCUGGUGGGGGA
rnacentral:misc_RNA from 1 species